rnacentral:rRNA from 1 species
UGGGGAAUAUUGCACAAUGGGGGAAACCCUGAUGCAGCGACGCCGCGUGAGCGAAGAAGGCUUUCGAGUCGUAAAGCUCUGUCCUAUGAGAAGAUAAUGACGGUAUCAUAGGAGGAAGCCCUGGCUAAAUACGUGCCAGCAGCCGCGGUAAUACGUAUGGGGCGAGCGUUGUCCGGAAUUAUUGGGCGUAAAGGGUACUUAGGCGGUUUUUUAAGUCAGGUGUCAAAGCGUGGAGCUUAACUCCAUUAAGCACUUGAAACUGAAAGACUUGAGUGAAGGAGAGGAAAGUGGAAUUCCUAGUGUAGCGGUGAAAUGCGUAGAUAUUAGGAGGAAUACCGGUGGCGAAGGCGACUUUCUGGACUUUUACUGACGCUCAGGUACGAAAGCGUGGGGAGCAAACAGG